CUAGUAACGGCGAGUGAAGCGGCAAUAGCUCAAAUUUGAAAUCUGGCCCUCGCGGUCCGAAUUGUAAUUUGUAGAGGAUGCUUUUGGUGCGGUGCCUUCUGAGUUCCCUGGAACGGGACGCCAGAGAGGGUGAGAGCCCCGUACGGUUGGACACCUAUCCUAUAUAUAGCUCCUUCGACGAGUCGAGUAGUUUGGGAAUGCUGCUCUAAAUGGGAGGUAAAUUUCUUCUAAAGCUAAAUACCGGCCAGAGACCGAUAGCGCACAAGUAGAGUGAUCGAAAGAUGAAAAGCACUUUGAAAAGAGGGUUAAAUAGCACGUGAAAUUGUUGAAAGGGAAGCGUUUGCGACCAGACCUUUCCCAGGGGGAUCAUCCGGUGUUCUCACCGGUGCACUUCCCCUGGUUUAGGCCAGCAUCGGUUUCCUUAGGGGGAUAAAGGCUUGGGGAACGUAGCUCUUUCGGGAGUGUUAUAGCCCCUCGCGUAAUACCCCUCGGGGGACCGAGGACCGCG
rnacentral:rRNA from 2 species